GGGACACGUGGUAUCCUGUCUGAAUAUGGGGGGACCAUCCUCCAAGGCUAAAUACUCCUGACUGACCGAUAGUGAACCAGUACCGUGAGGGAAAGGCGAAAAGAACCCCGGCGAGGGGAGUGAAAAAGAACCUGAAACCGUGUACGUACAAGCAGUGGGAGCACAGAGCAAUCUGUGUGACUGCGUACCUUUUGUAUAAUGGGUCAGCGACUUAUAUUCUGUAGCAAGGUUAACCGAAUAGGGGAGCCGAAGGGAAACCGAGUCUUAACUGGGCGUUAAGUUGCAGGGUAUAGACCCGAAACCCGGUGAUCUAGCCAUGGGCAGGUUGAAGGUUGGGUAACACUAACUGGAGGACCGAACCGACUAAUGUUGAAAAAUUAGCGGAUGACUUGUGGCUGGGGGUGAAAGGCCAAUCAAACCGGGAGAUAGCUGGUUCUCCCCGAAAGCUAUUUAGGUAGCGCCUCGUGAAUUCAUCUCCGGGGGUAGAGCACUGUUUCGGCAAGGGGGUCAUCCCGACUUACCAACCCGAUGCAAACUGCGAAUACCGGAGAAUGUUAUCACGGGAGACACACGGCGGGUGCUAACGUCCGUCGUGAAGAGGGAAACAACCCAGACCGCCAGCUAAGGUCCCAAAGUCAUGGUUAAGUGGGAAACGAUGUGGGAAGGCCCAGACAGCCAGGAUGUUGGCUUAGAAGCAGCCAUCAUUUAAAGAAAGCGUAAUAGCUCACUGGUCGAGUCGGCCUGCGCGGAAGAUGUAACGGGGCUAAACCAUGCACCGAAGCUGCGGCAGCGACGCUUAUGCGUUGUUGGGUAGGGGAGCGUUCUGUAAGCCUGUGAAGGUGUGCUGUGAGGCAUGCUGGAGGUAUCAGAAGUGCGAAUGCUGACAUAAGUAACGAUAAAGCGGGUGAAAAGCCCGCUCGCCGGAAGACCAAGGGUUCCUGUCCAACGUUAAUCGGGGCAGGGUGAGUCGACCCCUAAGGCGAGGCCGAAAGGCGUAGUCGAUGGGAAACAGGUUAAUAUUCCUGUACUUGGUGUUACUGCGAAGGGGGGACGGAGAAGGCUAUGUUGGCCGGGCGACGGUUGUCCCGGUUUAAGCGUGUAGGCUGGU
rnacentral:rRNA from 1 species